rnacentral:rRNA from 1 species
CACGCCGUAAACGAUGGGUACUAGGUGUGGGAGGUAUCGACCCCUUCCGUGCCGCAGUAAACACAAUAAGUACCCCACCUGGGGAGUACGGUCGCAAGAUUAAAACUCAAAGGAAUUGACGGGGGCCCGCACAAGCAGCGGAGCAUGUGGUUUAAUUCGAAGCAACGCGAAGAACCUUACCAGGUCUUGACAUCCCGAUGACCGCUCUAGAGAUAGAGUUUUCCCUUCGGGGACAUUGGUGACAGGUGG